rnacentral:tRNA from 1 species
GUCAGGAUGGCCGAGCGGUCUAAGGCACACUGCGUUCAGGUCACAGUUUCCCCUGGAGGCGUGGGUUUGAAUCCCACUUCUGACA